ACGAACGCUGGCGGUGUGCUUCACACAUGCAAGUCGAACGAGGUAGCAAUAUCUAGUGGCGGACGGGUGAGUAACGCGUGGGAAUCUGCCCUGGGGUGGGGGAUAACUAGUCGAAAGAUUAGCUAAUACCGCAUAUGCCGUGAGGUAAAAGGAGUAAUCCGCCCGAGGAUGAGCCUGCGUCCGAUUAGCUAGUUGGUAAGGUAAAGGCUUACCAAGGCUACGAUCGGUAGCUGGUCUGAGAGGAUGAUCAGCCACAAUGGGACUGAGACACGGCCCAUACUCCUACGGGAGGCAGCAGUGGGGAAUUUUACGCAAUGGGGGAAACCCUGACGUAGCGACACCGCGUGAGCGAAGAAGCCCUUUGGGGUGUAAAGCUCUGUCAGCAGGGACGAAAAUUAAUAUGACGGUACCUGCAGAGGAAGCAUCGGCUAACUACGU
rnacentral:rRNA from 1 species